rnacentral:lncRNA from 1 species
ACAAAAGCUGUGAAUAAGGACGUAACCAAUAUUGCAGGAAUGAGCAGAAUGACCCGUAGUGGUCGAAUCUAUAUGCCUGAAUUCAAUGUGACUCCUCAAGUGCCAGUCAAGGAAUCUACAGUUAUAGCUCCUGUUAAAUAACCCGAAGUGAUCCAAUCUGAAGAUGUUGUUGAAUUCUUGAAGUUGAUCAAGAGAAGUGAUUACAAG